ACACAUGCAAGUCGAGGGGCAGCACGGUGUAGCAAUACACUGGUGGCGACCGGCGCACGGGUGCGUAACGCGUAUGCAACCUACCCAUAACAGGGGGAUAACACUGAGAAAUUGGUACUAAUACCCCAUAACAUCAGGACCGGCAUCGGUUCUGGUUGAAAACUCCGGUGGUUAUGGAUGGGCAUGCGUUGUAUUAGCUGGUUGGUGAGGUAACGGCUCACCAAGGCAACGAUACAUAGGGGGACUGAGAGGUUAACCCCCCACAUUGGUACUGAGACACGGACCAAACUCCUACGGGAGGCAGCAGUGAGGAAUAUUGGUCAAUGGACGCAAGUCUGAACCAGCCAUGCCGCGUGCAGGAAGACGGCUCUAUGAGUUGUAAACUGCUUUUGUACGAGAGUAAACGCUCUUACGUGUAAGAGCCUGAAAGUAUCGUACGAAUAAGGAUCGGCUAACUCCGUGCCAGCAGCCGCGGUAAUACGGAGGAUCCAAGCGUUAUCCGGAUUUAUUGGGUUUAAAGGGUGCGUAGGCGGUUUGAUAAGUUAGAGGUGAAAUACCGGUGCUUAACACCGGAACUGCCUCUAAUACUGCUGAACUAGAGAGUAGUUGCGGUAGGCGGAAUGUAUGGUGUAGCGGUGAAAUGCUUAGAGAUCAUACAGAACACCGAUUGCGAAGGCAGCUUACCAAACUAUAUCUGACGUUGAGGCACGAAAGCGUGGGGAGCAA
rnacentral:rRNA from 1 species